rnacentral:lncRNA from 1 species
UAUUCUGUUUAUGUUGCAAAGGCUCACUUGUGACCCUGAAUUUCAUAGUAUUUGUGUCACCCAAUAUACUGUAUCUGAAAAUGUAACCUACACUUCUCCAAUUUUUCUCAGUAUAUUAAGGGUGCUUGGGAUGUUAACUAUGUUAUGACUAUUCAUAAACUUACAAGGCAAUUGUCAAAAAUCAAUGACACUAAGGUGUCUAUCUUGACAACCUUUUUCUUUUUUUCCAGGGGUUUGCUGAACAUUGAAAAAACUGAUAGCCAAAUUAACUAUUAUUAUAAUGCUAUUACCCUGGCCCUACUGUUCAUAAUAGUGAUAAUAUUUUCUUGUGUUGUGAGAUGCUUAUGUAACCAUGUAAAGGCCACUGGACAAAAAAUAGCAAUGCUGGCUGAAGUCCUUGCAGCACAGUCAGAGGGGGGAGAUGUGGGGACAAGUUCAUAGAGUACGGCAUACAUGGCAUACCUUAAGGGCGUCUGAGUGUCAGGCCACUCCCCUCAUGCUAGGUGUUUGAGUGGCAGGCCACUUACCCUGUAGGCACAGCCCUGGGUGUGAGGUCAUGUGUUGCAGUCCCUGUGCUCGAUCCAUAGCCCACUCUUCAAUUGGUUGUUGCAAGAACAAUUAGCAGAAAUUGCAUUGGUGGCUGCCUAUAAUAUGCUUAGCUACUGCCUGAGUAUAUAUACAUGGUAACUGCACAAUAAAAUCAAACCUGCUUCCUGCUUGGUCUCUGGAAGUCUUGAUUAACAACUCUGCAGCCACACUCUCCACUACCCUGGACCUCCUCGAUGGAUGAGAGAGAACCCACG